AUUUUGAAGUCAUAUUGUGGCUAGGUUAUUUUAUAUAUAUAAACACGUACAAGCCAAGUAAAGAGAGGAGAGAGAGUCCUUUUCUUAGUCAACUAGGGUGGCCCUAGGUUUUUUAUAUAUAAUAUAUAUAUACAUACCAACUAAGGGGAAUGGGGGAGAGAGUUUUCUGGAGAGAAAAAAAUUCGGCGGCCGCUGGGAAAAAAGAGAGAAGUCCUUUUGGAGAAAAUUAUUGUGGCUGCCAAUUUUUCUUCUUGGGAGGAUAUAUAUACAAGCACAGAAAAAUUGGCUGGGGGAUGAACUCUCUCUCUAUAUACAUGCACAGAAAACCAGAGAGAAGAGGAAUUGAAAGCUCCUGGUUGCUGCAUCAUUAUUCUUAUUUACGCACAUAUUUUGAGGGCAGCAGUUGGGAGUUUGUCUGGGAAUUAAUUGGCAGCAGCUUUGGGGUUGAUUGAAGUAAAAAAUUGAGGCUGCCUUUGGGCUGAAUAAAAGAGAAAACUAAAGCUGAAUAUACACAAAAAUUGAUACAGAAAUGGUGGCUUCAACUUGACUUCUUCAAUUAAUAAAAAUUGAUACAGAAAUGGUGGCUUCAACUUGACUUCUUCAAUUAAUAAAAUUGGCGGCUGCUAAUCACACACACAAGACAAGAGGCUGAAAUUGAAAGGAAGCAGACACGGCAAAAGACGGCAAUUCAGUCUUGCAAAUUAUUUACGUUCCGUCAAUUGACCCGGUGAUGAAUUUCCUAAUAAAUUUGUGUUUUUCUUUCAUUAUUAUGCGUAGCUAAAUCAAAAUUAGGACGAACAACGUAAUCUUUUGGAACCCUUUAUUUCGUUGAAUUAAGAUUCUAGUGCUUUUAUAUUUUAUGUGUUGAUUUUAAUGUUGUUCUUAAUGCAUUUAAUUACUUAAUCACUAAUUAGAUGAUUUGUGAACAAUGAUUGCGUAGAGAUACGGAUUAUUUGUUUAGACUACAUGUUAAAAU
rnacentral:lncRNA from 1 species